AGACUCUGGUUUUCCCUUUGAGAAGAUGCAGUUGGUUGGGAACUGGGGUUCGUUUCAUUUCCAUACCUGGAUAAUCCGUUAUGGACGAGUGCAGCAAAACGAAGAGGACAUGCAUCACCUGUGCAUUGUGAGGGGAGUGGAGAAACAGCUGUGGUGGAGCAGAGUCAUUCAGGAAAAAAUCCUGGACCCAUGGGGUAAUGUCCAGGUGGUCCUCACCAACAAGGAG